GGACGAACGCUGGCGGCGUGCCUAACACAUGCAAGUCGAGCGAGGAGAUCCUUCGGGAUGAUCCUAGCGGCGGACGGGUGAGUAACACGUGGGCAACCUGCCUCAUAGAGAGGAAUAGCCUUCCGAAAGGGAGAUUAAUACCUCAUAACAUUGCAGUUUCGCAUGGAACAGCAAUUAAAGGAGCAAUCCACUAUGAGAUGGGCCCGCGGCGCAUUAGCUAGUUGGUGAGGUAACGGCUCACCAAGGCGACGAUGCGUAGCCGACCUGAGAGGGUGAUCGGCCACAUUGGGACUGAGACACGGCCCAGACUCCUACGGGAGGCAGCAGUGGGGAAUAUUGCACAAUGGGGGAAACCCUGAUGCAAGCAACGCCGCGUGAGUGAUGACGGCCUUCGGGUUGUAAAGCUCUGUCUUCAGGGACGAUAAUGACGGUACCUGAGGAGGAAGCCACGGCUAACUACGUGCCAGCAGCGGC
rnacentral:rRNA from 1 species